rnacentral:lncRNA from 1 species
GUUACUAUUUAGAGAGGCAACCAUUGCACGUUGAUUUUUAUACCAUUUCUUCAGUUCCUGUAGUCUAACUGUUACUAUGAGCAUGAUCCAAGCAAUCGUUUUAGCCAUAAUCACUACUUUCUGGUUAACAGUUUGUGUGGUUUGUUCUCCUGUUAUUCAGCAAUCUCCUGAACAUCUUCUACGAUCUGUGGAGGAGAAACAGGCAAAUUUUUCUUGUUAUCAUGGUGACAACAACUAUCAACUCCUGUACUGGUAUCAACAGAAGAGCAGCGGUGGAUCUGUGGAGCUUAUCGGAAUGCUCAAUUAUGGAUCAGCUACUGUUGAGGAUAAAUUCAAAAGUCGAUUCAUCAUAUCAGGACAUGCUACAAAGGAUGCAUUUCUAUUAAUUUCCAGCUUGUCUGCUGAGGACAGUGCAGUGUAUUUCUGUGCAGCUAGUCUGCACAGUCAUUUGUUUCUUUAAAAACCCUGACAAAAACGGUUCACUUUGCACCUGUGUGGAUAAUAAAAAAAACAAAACAAUGUG